rnacentral:tRNA from 1 species
AGUUAAUUAGUUUAAAGAUAAAACUUAUAUUUUGAAAAUAUAAAACAGAGUAAUUUAUUAACUU